UACAGAGGGGGCAAGCGUUAUUCGGAAUUAUUGGGCGUAAAGGGCGCGUAGGCGGUCCAUCAAGUCUCUCGUGAAAUCCCUCGGCUUAACUGAGGACGUGCGGGAGAUACUGCUGGGCUUGAGUCCGGAAGAGGGUGGUGGAAUUCCCAGUGUAGCGGUGAAAUGCGUAGAGAUCGGAAAGAACACCAACGGCGAAAGCACUCUGCUGGGCCGACACUGACACUGAGAGACGAAAGCUAGGGGAGCGAAUGGG
rnacentral:rRNA from 1 species